rnacentral:rRNA from 1 species
GACGAACGCUGGCGGCGUGCUUAACACAUGCAAGUCGAACGGCAAGGCCCUGCUUUUGUGGGGUGAUCGAGUGGCGAACGGGUGAGUAACACGUGAGUAACCUGCCCUUGACUUUGGGAUAACUUCAGGAAACUGAGGCUAAUACCGGAUAGGAGCUCACGCUGCAUGGUGGGGGUUGGAAAGUUUCGGCGGUUGGGGAUGGACUCGCGGCUUAUCAGCUUGUUGGUGGGGUAGUGGCUUACCAAGGCUUUGACGGGUAGCCGGCCUGGGAGGGUGAACGGCCACAUUGGGACUGAGAUACGGCCCAGACUCCUACGGGAGGCAGCAGUGGGGAAUAUUGCACAAUGGGCGGAAGCCUGAUGCAGCAACGCCGCGUGCGGGAUGACGGCCUUCGGGUUGUAAACCGCUUUCGCCUGUGACGAAGCGUGAGUGACGGUAAUGGGUAAAGAAGCACCGGCUAACUACGUG